CGGCUAUAGUCCAGUGGCAGGAUAUGAGCUUCCCAAGCUUAAGACCGGGGUUCAAAUCCCCGUAGCCG
rnacentral:tRNA from 1 species